rnacentral:siRNA from 1 species
GGCUCUCUCGGGAGCUUUCCC